CACGCUCGCACUGGUUAGACUUGCCCGCUGUGUAAGAGGAAGGUCACACUAAGAAAGUGUGUUGGUUGACUGUGUCGGUUUGACAGGAGCUAGACUAGCCAGAGACAAGCUCUGGGCAAGCCUUUGAGGGAAAAAUCUGGAUGUAAUUAAUCGAGCUGAGGAGACCGGCCCUAACUGGGAGGCACCAUCGCUUGGACUGAACAAAAGGUCCUUGAGCCCCUGCUGCGAGACGCCCAGGCUUUGGAGGGCAAUAACCUGGGACUGUGAGUCAGCACAAAGCCUUCCUUCUUUACCUUGCUAUCCUCAGGGUAUUUUUCCACAACAGUAGAAAGGAAUGUAGGCAGUAGGGAACCUGCAACAUCAGAGAGGAGAUAGGGCUGUUGAUGGGGGAGGAUCUUGGAGGGAGAUGGAGAUAAGAAAGUCCCGGUAGAGAGCCCUGGGCAAGUCUCCUUAACACGCUAGGACUCCGUCUGGAGCAGAAGCAUCCAUUGAAGAUGAGGAAUCCGCAGUUCAAGAUAACUAACUGGCUGGCGCCAGCUGGCGGGGCUCACAGAGCUCAGACUGGAACGAAUGGCCACUUUGAGUUUCAACUCCGAGCGUCCACCAGGGGGAGGCUGCAGGACCUCGCUGUGCAGAGCUGAGAAGGGCUGCCACGUGUCGGAUGAGGACUGCGUGGAGCCGCAGGGUAGCGAGGAGGCUCGGUCGUUCCCCAAAGCAAGGGCUGGGUUCUCCGUGCAAAGGUGUAAUGACACGGAGAAAAGGCAGAUUUUAUGGAAUAAAAGAGGAAGCUUCUCGCGA